UCCACUCUGAAGCAAAUUCUUAAAUGAUUUACAGAACCAUAGCAUCCAUAGCUCAAAGAGACAGAAGCUUCUUCGUAAGCCUAAUAAACCAAGCCACCACACUCUCACACCUCAAUCAAACUCACGCCCAUUUAAUCCGCCAUAGCCUAAGCACUGAUCUCAUUACAAUCACAAAACUCACUCACAAACUUUUUGACUUUAAAGCCAUUUCUAAAGCCAAGAAUGUAUUCACCACCUUUAAUAAAACUAACCCACCUGAUCUUUUUCUUUAUAAUGUCCUCAUUAGAGGCUACUCAAAAAACAAUUUGCCUUUUGAAUCUUUACAACUUUAUUUACAACUUAUCAAGAAUACAAGACUUAGACCCGAUAAUUUUACGUUUGCGUUUGUUGUUUCAGCUUUUUCUUCAUCUGGGUAUGAAAAAGUUGGGAUUUUGAUUCAUGGGCAUGUGUUAGUUUGUGGAUUUAGUAACGAUGUGUUUGUUGGGUCGGCUUUAGUGGGUAUGUAUAUGAAUUUUUCAAGAAUUGGUCAUGCGUAUAAGGUGUUCGAUGAAAUUACUGAACGAGAUGGUGUUUUGUGGAAUACAAUGGUUUCUGGGUUGGUGAAGAAUUGCUGUUUUGAGGAGAGUAUUCGGGUUUUUGGCGAUAUGGUUGCAAGAGGGAUGAGGUUUGAUUCUACAACGUUGGCUGUGGUACUUACGGCUGUUGCUGAGUUGCAGGAGUUGAGGAAUGGAAUGUUGAUACAUUGUUUGGUUGUCAAAAUGGGUUAUCAUAGUCAUGAGUAUGUUCUUACUGGUUUAAUUUCUUUGUAUUCCAAAUGUGGUGAUGUAUCCGCGGCUAAAUUGUUCUUUGGGAUGAUAAGAGAGCCAGAUUUGAUCUCGUGUAAUGCAAUGAUUGCUGGUUUCUGUUUUAAUAAUGAGAAUGAAUCUUCGGUGAGGUUAUUUAGAGAAUUGCUUGUUCAGGGGGAGAUAGUUAAUUCAAGUACCAUUGUUGGUUUAAUUCCUGUUUCUUGUCCUUUCGGUCGUCUGAACCUCACAUGUUCUAUCCAUGGUUUUUGUGUGAAAUCUGGGAUGGUCUCGAAUCCUUCAGUUUCUACUGCUUUGACUACAGUCUACAGCCGACUCAAUGAAAUGGAAUUGGCGCGGAGGCUGUUUGAUGAGUCCCCACAAAAAAGCUUAGCAUCGUGGAAUGCCAUGAUAUCAGGUUACGCCCAAAAUGGGUUGACAGAAAUGGCUAUAUCUCUCUUUCAGGAAAUGCAGAAGUUGGAUAUCCAUCCAAAUCCUGUCACAAUCACGAGUAUACUUUCUGCAUGUGCUCAACUUGGAGCAUUAAGUAUGGGAAAAUGGGUCCAUGACUUAAUAAAGAAAGAGAAAUUUGAGUCAAACAUUUAUGUAUUAACGGCUUUAGUUGACAUGUAUGCAAAGUGUGGGAACAUUGAGGAGGCGCGGCAAGUAUUUGACAGCAUUGUGGAGAAAAAUGUGGUUACUUGGAAUGCCAUGAUUUCAGCUUAUGGUCUCCAUGGAUGUGGUCGAGAAGCACUGGUGUUGUUUGAUCAAAUGCUUGAUUCUGGAGUUUCCCCAACUGGCGUCACUUUCCUUUGUGUCUUGUAUGCUUGUAGUCAUACCGGCUUAGUAGAAGAAGGUGAGAAAUUAUUCCACUCUAUGAUUCAUGAUCUUGGCAUUGAACCUUUAUCUGAACAUUAUGCCUGCAUGGUGGACCUUUUGGGCCGAGCUGGAAAACUAGAAAAUGCGUUGGAAUUUAUUUAUAGGAUGCCUCUUGAGCCAGGUGCAGCCGAGUGGGGUGCAUUACUCGGGGCAUGCAUGGUCCACAAAAAUAUGGAUUUGGCUCGCUUGGCCUCGGGUAAGUUAUUUGCGUUGGACAUGGGAAGUGUUGGAUACUAUGUUUUACUUUCAAACAUCUACUCAGCAGAUCGUAAUUAUUUUCAAGCUGCUUCAGUUAGGAAAGUUCUUAAGAACAAGAAUUUAGCAAAGACCCCUGGGUGCACUUUAAUUGAGGUUAAUGGACACCAGCAUGUCUUUACAUCCAGCGACGAGUCACAUCCUCAAGCAGCGGCUAUUUAUGCAAAGCUGGAGGAGCUGAUGGAAAAGAUGAGGGAAGCUGGAUUUCACGCUGAGACCAGCACAGCGUUGCAUGAUGUUGAAGAAGAAGAGAAGGAGUUGAUGGUCAAAGUUCAUAGUGAGAAGUUAGCUAUUGCUUUUGGGCUUUUAACAUCUGAACCUGGAACUGAAAUCAGAAUCAUCAAGAACCUAAGGGUUUGUGUGGAUUGCCAUAAUUUCACCAAGUUUGUCUCCAAGGUUACGGACAGAGUUAUUGUUGUAAGGGAUGCCAACAGGUUUCAUCAUUUCAAAGAUGGGGAGUGUUCCUGUGGAGAUUAUUGGUAAAAAGGACUUUUUACUGCCAAGGAUGUUUAGUCAGCUUUUUAGGAGCAAUAUGGAGGUUAAUGGAGCCAGUUUGUGUUUACCUUGUGCGUAGAUCCGAUUCUUAUAGGAACAAUGACAAGAGGAUAGCUCAAUCACUUGUUGCACAUGCAAUGUCAAAGGAAGUUGCUGAGGAGUCUAUCUGCUUGAAUUCGCAGAAGAUUUGGCGAGAAAGGUUGCAUAAAUUUCUCAGAGAACAGGCUCUUUAGGUACUAAAUCCUCUCAAAACCUAAAGAAGUACCACUCAUCUACUUUUAUUUCAUUCGCUAACAUGCAUCUUCAAGUGCCAAGUGUUAUCUUCUUGGAAAUUAUAUUCACUUAACUCUUUUAAGAUAGGAUGAGGGUAUUCGGCACAU